rnacentral:rRNA from 1 species
UACGGAGGGUGCGAGCGUUGUCCGGAAUCACUGGGCGUAAAGGGUGCGUAGGUGGCGAGGUAAGUCGGAUGUGAAAGCUCGGAGCUCAACUCCGAAAUGGCAUUGGAAACUACCUUGCUCGAGGGUUGGAGGGGGGACUGGAAUGCUUGGUGUAGCAGUGAAAUGCGUAGAUAUCAAGCGGAACAUCAGUGGCGAAGGCGAGUCCCUGGACAACUCCUGACACUGAGGCACGAAAGCUAGGGGAGCAAACAGG